GUCGUCGUGAGGCGGGGUCUGAAGGAAGCUGUAGGCAAACCUGCGAUGCUUGGGCUUCGCUCAGCACAGGCUCUGAGGAACACAAACCCCAUAAAGAGACUGUGAGGUUGGGCGAGUUGGCGUAUGACAACAAAGCCCUGAGGAAUGCUUAUUGGAAAGAAGCGGGGUUAGUAAGCAUC
rfam:Chloroflexi bacterium RBG_16_48_8 RBG_16_scaffold_14029, whole genome shotgun sequence.